rnacentral:piRNA from 1 species
UCCUGACUGCUGCUUGAAUGUUCU